GUGGUCCUUUAACUAGGCACUACAAUUUGGUCAAAAUUAUGUUAAAAUAACCAACUUUCACAUGGGCAUGCAAAUGUGCCCACAAGUGCAAUACAGUACACAUUUUAUGUGAUAUGAUAUAUGCAAAUCUAUAUCAAUAUCAGGAGAUGAACUGAAUUAAUGGAAGCACACUAUAGUGGAGACAAUGUUUGGAGUGUUCCUUUCAGAACACGCAAUGCCAAUAGCAGCUGCUGCCCAGUAUAGUAACUACCAGCAAUCCUGGGCAGGCCAGGACAUGUAAGAUUGUGAGUGACACAUUAUAUGCAAACAUUUCUCCUGAUCAUCUGACAGCCACAUUUUGUCACAUAGUUUUUGAAACAACUAUCAUCAACAUCCACAUAUGAGUAUCUGUGCUCUUCGAAGGAAGGCUUUUAUAAGAAGUGAGGCAUUAGACAGACUGAUUAGAACUGCCAUCUGUGACCAGUGAACUGUGUCGUGUGCCUCUCUCCUCUACCUGAAAUUGUGCCCAACUGACUCACACAACAGCAAACCUGCAAUUAUCAACUAAGGAAGUUAAAAGGUUACUCCAACUACCAUGACCACUUUAGUGAUUUGAAGUAAUCAUGGUGGUAGAAGUAUGUAUGUUCGGAGUUCUUUUUAAUUGUGUGCCACGGCGAGUUGCACUAACAGCACACGUGACACUAGCAGCCCAGAAAUUACAUCUGUUGACAGCACGCACUGAACGCUGCCAACAGACAUGAGAAUCUUCACCUUGGAGGCAGAACGCCUGCAAGGAGAAGCUAGCUCUCCCCUGACUUUGGGUGACUGCACUCCCUUCAUUGCUGCCAGUUCUUUUCUUAAAAAGUACACGCGCUCCGAGCCUGCAGAUGGUAUCACAGACUUCUCUAUGAGAAGCCUGUUAUUGGUACGCACAUGGUGCCUGUGAUAUCAGGAGGAGGCAUGCAAGUCAACACCGGGAGCUUCGCACCAGUGCUGGAAU